CUCGUGGUCUCGCCGUGGAGAAUCAUUCAGAUUAUGCGUCAACGCUGAUUGUAGAGGUUCUGACUCGCAUUCAAGAACACUAAACGCAGUCAGCAGCUGCAGAAACUCGGCCAGCUCGUUCAGCAACAUAUGGCGAGAAGCCAACUCUUAGGCAAGCUUUGGAACAACACCAAACACGAAGGGAAAGUAGGUCAUGUCCACAACGGCUGAGGACCACGGACAACUGGCCAUCUUGCCAUAUGACAUCACAAACGGCCCUUUUCAGGGCCAUCCAUUGCUAUACGCAAAGACGAGCGUUGCUUGUAGAUUAACCCACCUCAUAUGACAUUGCAUAUUAAUUCUCAAACCCAUUUUGAUACCUGCACAACUAAAAUCAUUAAAGGGACUAUAGCAUCCAUGUGUGUAUGUUAGUCGUCCCUUAACAGUCAACUUGGCCAAAAUUCACUUCCAUAAACAGCUGAAGACAAAAUUUGUCACUCUCAGCAGCUAUGAGCCUUGUGUGUGUGACGUUUGCUCCAAUUUUCAGACAGGGAAUACUCUAAUAUGUGUCAUCCGCUCUUGCCCAGGCUUUACUAAAAACUGCACAAAAACUGACACAAAUUCGCGUAUUAUGUUAGACGUGACUGUCAGUGAGCAAUGUAGAAAAAAUGUCACUGCUGAGGCAGAAUCAAUUGGGACGGAUGCGGCAGCCUCUUUAAGCAGUACCUAUUGUACGAAAAGAAGUCUUAUGGAUAUGCUGAACUGCAAAACUAUAUUUUAUUAUAACCAAGUUAACAUUUUUUUUCUUUCCAGUGCAUGUGCAGUUUCGAGAAGACAGCAGUCUGGAAUCUACUGAAAUUGUGAGCAACAGUAUCAUCACCAUCCGUGCAUAGAUAUUAAAUACCACUGUAGCAUUUUGUUAUGCAACAGAAAUAUUAAA